CCGCAUGUGCCGAGCUCAAGACUAGCGGGGAAGUACCCAAUCCGUACAGUGAUUUUCUCUCUCAUGUUUUGGCGCGCGUUUGGAACAUCUCUCUUUCCGUAUAGAAACGGCAGACAGUCUUCUUCUCUCGCCUACUCUUCAUUUUCGAAAGCAUUCAAACCCUAAAAUGGCGUUCGCUCCAGUUCUGAAUCUCUCUCUCCUUCUCUCUCUUGCUCCUUUUCAAUCUCUAAUCCUUAUUUUCCUUCGAUUUCAGAUAAAAAAAAAUCAACCUUCCGAUUGCUCGAUGCGGCUUUCAACGGAAAUCUUCGACUCUUGAAGAAGGUCGCGGCGGAGAUUGCCGACGGGAAGGGGUUGGCAAGGACGGUUACGGAAGUUAAAGACUCGAAGGGUCGAGCGGCUCGUCAUUUAGCUGCGACCGAGGGAAUGACAGAUGUAUCCAAGUACUUGUUGGAGGAGUUUACAGAUGUCUCCAAGUACUUGAGGAGUUGAAAUUCAAUGUUGAUGUGAGAUAUGAAAAAGGUGAAACUCUAUUUCUUCAUCCGGUUCUAGGAGGGUAUUUAAGCAUGUCAAAAUAUCUUCUUGAUCCCGAUGCCAAUCCUGCUGCUACUAGUGAGUCUGGAUUCACUCCUUUGCAUUACGCUGCAGAAAAAAGGGCACACAAAAGUUACUGAGAUUGUUAAUUUCAAAAGGUGUUGAUGUGGAUCCACAACAUGAUUCUGGCACUCCAUUGCAAUGGGC